rfam:Colius striatus contig44256, whole genome shotgun sequence.
CCUUCGGUGAUGAGGAACAACUUGACUUUCGUUCUUCUGAGCUUUCUGAAGCAACGUUCAGUAAUCUGAGGAGG